rfam:Triticum aestivum genome assembly, contig: Triticum_aestivum_CS42_TGACv1_scaffold_622139_7DS
UGGAUACUCCCUCCGUCCGAAAAUACGUGUCAUCAAAAUGGAUAAAAAAAAUACGUCUAGAUACAUCCCAUUUUAUUCAUUUUGAUGACAAGUAUUUCCGGACGGAGGGAGUACAUU